AAUCAGCCACAAGUCAUUCACAGCCAAGUCUGAUGAUGAAUGUGGGUGACUGAGCUGGAUCACAAAUAGGGUGUGACUCUCAAAUCAUUAAAGCUCAUUUUCUGACUCAUAAACUGGCUCUUGAUGGCAGUUCCCGAACAGGAAUCUGGAAAUGUUUUGCACAAAGGCUGCCUUUUUGAAAUGCCUAUGGGUCUUAUCAUACACUCCUUAAUUCAAAUGCUUUCAUGAUUACCCACUGCCUACUGAGUCUAUUAUCUGGCAGUAAAGGUCUGGCCCUAAUUCACACUUCAUGUACCUUAUGCUCCAAACAGAGUGACAAUUGCUGGCCCAUAAACAUGUCUUCCUGUCUUUCAUCUUAAUUCAUUUUUCUCCUUAUAUAAAGUAUGGCUUCAUUCAACCUCAUUCCCCCUUGUUGACAUUUUAACCUUCUUUCAAGGUUCUGUCAGACACCAUCUUGGUGAAAUUGUGUCAUCCCUCCCAGCUAUAAGUGCCUUUUCUUUCAUCUGAUUUCAGAACUCUGUAUUUGUCUUACAGCUCUUCUAGAGCUAGGAAGAAAGGAAGGAAGGAGACAAGACAGGAAGGGAAGGAAGAGAGAAAGAAGAGAAAGCAGGAAGGAAGGAAGAAGGGAGUGAGAAAGGGAGGUAGGGAGAGAAGAAGAAGGAAAAAAGAGAUGAAGCGAAGAAGGAAGGGAAGGAAAAAAAUACACUCUGGGAUGUCUAAGUUCUGGUCAGUUGGUUAAAUAAUCAUCAGUUCCAUUAUCUUCUUGCCUAGUCAGUACAAUACAGCUACAUCUUAUCUCCCACCUCGACUAUUAAGCUCACCAAAGUUCCAAUGUGUGAUUUCAUUGGUGUGAGGGAAGUCCCAGGGAGACGUUUGGCAGCCACAGGGUUCUGAACUAAGAAGAUCUGGACCUCCUUUAUCUAGCCGACCACCUCUCAUCCCCCUCUGAUGAAUGGGGAAGAAGGGUGCUGGAGGAAAGGGAAAGAAAGAAAUUGUCAGGGAUGCUUGCUACACAUUGUUUUAAUGCCUACUUUUCAAUACUCUUUUAAACUGCUAAUCAGUUACAUGGCCAUUAACAGUGUCUUGUGUAAUCCAAGAGUUGGGGGAGUGGAAUUGGAGAUGGUGGGGAGGAGGGAGCCAGCCAAUGAGGAAAAAUGGGAGUUCAAGUGUAGAGAAUUUUAAAUAUUUUUAUAUUAAUUUUUGAGAUUAUUUUAGAGCAUGCCUGCUAGACUGCCAUUGAACCCAGAAAGUGAACAAGGAGCUCAGUUAGAGUUUAGGGGUGGGAGGAGGAGGGACAAAGUUGACAGUCACCAAGUUGUGCCUUUUAAUGCUACUUCUCACCUCGCAUUAGAACAUUCUUGCAUCAACUCCCACAUCCUGCUGCAUUCAUCUGGGCAGACAAAAAUGCAUUCCCUAGCAUAUAUUCCACAUUUUUCCUUUCCACAUUCACCUUUUCUAAUUUGUAAACCUAUUUUAUUUCACUCCUGGACUAUGCAAUAUCCAAGCUAUUCUCCUUAUCUUAUCUCUCUAAACCAUCCUGUCUUAAGAUGGCAGUUUGUCUUCCUGAGGCUUACGGUCUCACAAGAUGAUGAUUCUUAAUCCAGGCUUUGUUCUUUUAAAGAUAGCUGAUUGUCCCUUUAAAUUCUUCCUGUCACACAAAAUUGAGUCCUUGAUCAUAUGCCAUCUUGUCUUUUACAUUCUUGUUUUUUAGAGACCUCUGGACACUUAAUGUUUUUCUUAAUCAAAGAUGGGGAGCAUCUACUUCACAGGCUUAUUGUGAAAGCAUUUGAAAGGUACUUUGUAAAUCUUAAAAUGCUAAAUGCUAUUACUUUCUAAGUCUUUUGUUUCAAACCAUGCUGCUUGCACUUUGACUCUCUUUCCCCCUCCCCUUAAUAGAACUUACUGUUCCACACCUGGAACCUGCACUCUAAUUAAAGACUGGGACUGAUAUAUUUAUAUUUGGAACCCACUGCUCUUAGCACAAUGCUUAAUACAUAGUGAGUGCUCAAAUAUUCAUUUUUUCAUUCAUUCCUAUGUACACAGAUAAAGAAUCGCUUAAGGGUAAAUUUCAUAUCUUUUCCUCCAUUUACCUUAUAGUGCCUAGGACAGGACUGGCUUAUGUGAAGUUGUCUGGAAUGACUUUUUUUUUAUUAAAGCUUUUUAUUUUCAAAACAUA